GAAAGACUUUCUAACAGGAAUAUCUUGAAAACGACAAUCUUUUUCGAUCUCUAUAAAUGGUCAUCCAACUUUGUCUUUUUCAGACGCCAUUUCCUUUAAUGCUGGCUUCCAUAAACUCAUAUGAUCAAAGAUGUCUUCUGUGAUGUGCCACUUUUAUGCAAUCGCCAAAGAAAUUCAUUCUUCCUUCUUUAAUUCUAUUGCAAGUUGUGAAAGCAAUAUAAUACCACUUCCACCUUUGCAGCAAGGACACACUUAAUGGCCUAAAUAGAAUAAUUUUAAACCCAAAUAGAAUAAUUUUAAACCCAACAAGUAACGAUUUUAUAUUAGUUAAACUACUAUAAUAAAUAAACAAAUAGUACCUCAGUGGCAUAGAUAAUUCCCUGAAUGGCCUUUCUUGGAUAAUUUCCAAAGAACUCAUAAUGCCAAGAGUCAGUUUUGGUUAUUGAUGAGGG
rnacentral:lncRNA from 1 species